rnacentral:rRNA from 1 species
GUGGGGAAUAUUGGACAAUGGGCGCAAGCCUGAUCCAGCCAUGCCGCGUGAGUGAUGACGGCCUUAGGGUUGUAAAGCUCUUUUAACAGGGACGAUAAUGACGGUACCUGUAGAAUAAGCCCCGGCUAACUUCGUGCCAGCAGCCGCGGUAAUACGAAGGGGGCUAGCGUUGUUCGGAAUCACUGGGCGUAAAGCGCACGUAGGCGGAUUCUUAAGUCGGGGGUGAAAUCCUGAGGCUCAACCUCAGAACUGCCUUCGAUACUGGGGAUCUUGAGUUCGGAAGAGGUUGGUGGAACAGCUAGUGUAGAGGUGAAAUUCGUAGAUAUUAGCUAGAACACCAGUGGCGAAGGCGGCCAACUGGUCCGACACUGACGCUGAGGUGCGAAAGCGUGGGGAGCAAACAGGAUUAGAUACCCUUGUAGUCC